CAACCCCCGCGAGAUCAGCGUUCAGCUCGGACAAGGUCCACCCCAGCAGAUUCUGGGCUGCAGCCCCGGGUCUCUUACCGUCACCAGCACACAGUGCAGGUCCGGGGUCUGCGCGGCGCCCCCGCUCUCCGCCGGGCCCGCGUCGUUCUCCAGUAGCAGCAGCUCAGCUAGCCGACCCGGGUUGCUGACCCGCAGGAUGUUGAUGUCGUUCUCGCAGCAGAACGCACGGAUGAGGGUGAAAUGGAUCUGCAGAGCCACAUCCCGGUCGUCGUCUUCGUCAGCAGCCAGCAGGCACAGUACCACGUUAUCGGGGUCUCUGCGGGCAGCGGGGCAGCGGCGAGAAUUCCUCCAAAGUCAUAUUGCAAGUGCGAGUCCCUCCCUCGGCGCGCGGGCUGCUCCUGGCCCCCACAGUGCGCGGCGCCGGCUCUGCGCUCGCUCCCACCCUCCCUUCUCCGCUCCGGCCGGCCGGCUGCUCGCCUAGCCUCGCUGGGGAACUCUGCACUGCUGCCUCGGGGCCACUGGAGGACAAAGGGCCCGAUUCCGGAGAUAUGGGGCAUCAGAAGAGGAUAUUGGAUCCCAUUACAGAUGGUUGAAGGCCACCAUGUCGUUGCUGGGAAUGAACUCAAGACCUCUGGAAGAGCAGUCAGUGCUCUUAACCUCUGAGCCAUCUCUCCAGCCCAGAACUGAUCUUACAUGGGUGGGUCCAAAUGCAGGUAACUGACUUGUCUGCACUCAAAACUCAGAGCCUGUCUUUCCCAGAGUAUGACGUCACUCAUCUCUACCCACCUGCUUCCCUCCAGGAGUAGCUGUGCUUGGCUACCUAGCGCUUGGCUUAUUGAUGACCAAUGAUGUGGUCAGAGGCUACACUCAGUGGUUUAAGCCACAGAGCUUUUGUUCUCUGCUGAGUAUGUGGGUUGGGGUACAUUAAAAGGCACAGAAUUUUUCAAGCAUCGCAACUGUAAUGACUGAAGUUAAGUGAACUUCACCAAGUGCCAACAAGGGUUUGCAGUAACUGGAAGUUUCAUGUAUUAGUGAGGGAGAUAAACAAACAAAACAAUAACAAUAAAAACAGUUCAGCCACUUUGGAGAGUGUUGACAGUGUCUUGAAAGCUAAGCAUAUACUUUACACACACAAUUCAGCAAUCUCAAACCUGGGUGUGCACCCAAGAAAACUGAAAAGAUAUUCUUAUAAACAGACUUGUCCAUGAGCUCUCACAGAAGUAUUAGUAUUAAUGUUCUAAAAUGCUUAAUAACUCUCAUGUUUAUCAACUGAUUAGUUGGACAAUGCUGCAUAAACUGGGAAAUGAAUCUCAAAAAUAUUGUACUCCCUGGAAGAGGUAAAAUGGAAAAGAUCGCAUACUUUUAUAAAACUCUAGGAAAAGCAAGACUAUACUUUCAGGAAGCAGUGGUUUCGAGCAGCUGAGAGUCGGGGAAGAGACAGACUACGGGUCAAUGAAAUCUAAGCUGUAAUUGUGUUGGUUGUUACUGAUUAUACUUAGCAAAAUUCAUUGCAUUGUAUAUCUUCAUCAUGUGAGUUAUUACAUAUAAGUUAUGAUAAGUCUGGUUUUCUUAAAGUAGGGCAUAGCUUUCAUAGUAUGGAUAGGUGCUGUGAAGGCUGAUGGGGGAAACUGUUCUCCAGAGUCUUUCUUAGCUCUAGACUCUCUGUGCUAUACUUGCUAAACAAGAUGUGCACACUGGUGUAACUGUAGCUUGACUGUUAUGGGGGUAACAGGUUAUGAUUGAACUUGAAACUUUUCCACAAGAAGGAAUUUACAAAUGGUACCCAGUCAAAAGCUUAUCCGGGAAGGUCAUAGAUCCUAGAGGGUGACUGUACACUUUGCUAAAUGGACAGGAUGUACCUGUCAAAAUGCCUGCUAAAUAUUUAUGUUGCUGCUGUCAUCUUUGGUCAGAAAAGCUUCUUUUUCAUUUAGGUAUCAGUUACUGCAGAGACUCAAGAGAUUUAAGUGCAGAAAAGAAGGGACUUUUGAGUGCUCAGUCCUAAGUUGAACAAUGAUAUCAUCCCCUCCAAAGCUCAAGGUGGUUGUAAGCCACCCUGUGAUUGCUGGGAUUUGAACUCAAGACCUCCGGAAGAGCAAUUAGUGCUCUUAACCGCUGAGCAAUCUCUCCAGCCCGACUCUGCAAGUUUCAGUGAGAUAUGUUCAAACUGGCCUAAAAUUUUCUAGAUGCUCAGACUGGCCCCAGCUUCCCAAAAGCUGAACUGGCAAGCAUGUGCCGCCAUGCCUGGUAAAAUCUGAGAUUUGCACGCAUUGCAAAACCAGUCCUGCAGGUUAGCACAGCGUAAUGGGCUUAAUUUUCAUAUGAGUGUGUCCUCAUCUGGCUUAUUCUCCUCCCACGCGGUCCUCAGAAGCCUUUCAAGGUCUGACCUAUGAGUGGACUUUCCAUCACCUCUCACUCCUCAUUCGGAAUGGGCAUUUGGGCAGUGUGGGACCGGAAGUAAGACCCUGCUCCUGAGAGUGUGGAAGAGAAAGCACCAUGAGACAAGACUGGGGCAGAGGCAGCGGAGGACUGAAUCAGAGGCUUGAGGAAGGAGAAGAGCCACCGCAGCCGCUGAGGGCAAUGUCACCGCAAGAUGGCAAGAUUUUGGCAAAGGACCUGUAUGUGCUGUAUGUCUGUAUCACUGGAGGAGAUGGGGGACUGCCUGGCCCAAGGCUGGCCAGUAACAGAAAGCUGAGACCUCAGGGAGUCUCUUUGGUGACUCUAUGGGCUGACUGCACUUCCAGUUCUCCUCUGUCCUAACUCAUUACACAGCUGUGGGCUGAAGUGAAACUGCCCAGGGAUCUCAUUUGAGCUCAUCUUUGGUCUGUUGUUAUGAAGGAGGCAUGUUAGAAGCCUUCCCACAGGCUGUUUACCUAAAGAAACCACUGUUCUCCUGAGGCACUGACUAUCCAGAUGACAGUGUCCCACUGUGCGUCCCACAAAUAUGCUGGGCAAUCAGGGCUAGACACCACAGGAGUUGCAAAGCAGCGCAACCCAAGGACACACUUCCCAAGGCUGAAGUCAUCACAAAAGUCAGGACAGAGCUCCAGAAGGCACUGCACAGGAACACAUGGUUAAGCCUGGCCAACUCCCACACGUCUGCUACCACAGCUACUCUGCAGCCCAGACUGCAGGAUCCAGAAGUUCAAGGAUCUCACUAUAUAUCUCUGGCUCCCUGACUGGACUGGAACUCUAUAUGUAGUCUAGUCUAGCCUUGAUCUCACAGAAAUCUGCACACCUGCUAGGACUGGCCAUGCACACCAUUACACAGGACAAAAUAAAUAUUAAGAAAGAAAGGAUUGGUGAAUGAAUGUACACUUAUGUAUAAAAACCAUCUCUAUUAUAUACCUUUUUUGUGUGUCUCCUGAAUUAAACUAAACUUAACCUACAAAUGUCUGGUCCUAGCUGAUUUUGACAAGAAUACUUCUUAGAAUUGUUGGUGUCUUUGCUGGAACUCCCUGUUCAGUUGGCUCAAGGGUGGGUUUAGGGUUCCAUCUUAAGCUCUAGGACUGUGGAUUCUAUAGUAGCUGUUAGCUGUACAAACUCACUGAGCUCCGGAAGUGUAUGUAAUGUGGCCAGUGGGAUGAAGGAGCUAAACUUUUAACCUUGUUAAGUUUUAAUGUAUUUAAAUUUAAAUUUUCACUCAGUCCCUAUCUAUGCUUGUAAUAAUUUGGAUACGUGAAUCUCUUCAGCCAUCUGUGUUAUGAAACCUUAAAUAUAAUUUAACUCUACAUGGUGAAGGUUUGUUACGUCGACUGAGAUUAUUGUAAGUAUAAAACUACCAAAUCCUGAAGGCCUGUACAGAGUUUUAAAACUCAAUUUGUAUACAGGUUAUUUAUUGAAAUGCUGACAUUUUAAAUAUACUUAGUCUCUAAGGCAUAUUAAAAUUAAUUUUACUUGUCU
rnacentral:lncRNA from 1 species